rnacentral:misc_RNA from 1 species
CUAGGAAAAGAAUGGUGGCAUUGAUCAGAGAGUUGGCGAGUGUGUGGUGAGCAAUGUGAUGGUUGACCAUGGACCACAGCAGCGGGGGCGGCCACCACCUCCACUACGCCCAUAUUCUCUCACACCAACUCAAUCAGCUCAGUCUCUCCACCACAGGCCAGCAGGUGGAUCCCCAAGAACGAAAUUAUGCCGGGAGGAAUAGCGACCAUGGCCAAGAAGUCUACUCUCCACAACGGUUGCAGGAGCCAGUGCAAAAUAUGCAGCAACGGCAGCUACAACAGUUGCAGCAGCUACAGCAGCUGCAACAACAACAGCAGCUGCAGCAACAACAGCAGCUCCAGCAACAACAGCAGCUCCAGCAGCAGCAACAACAGCAGCUGCAACAGCAACAGCAGCAGCAACAUCAACAACAGUUCUUUCAUCAGCAGAGCCAGGAACAGCUGAAUUAUGGAUCAUCAGGAAUGGCUCAUAAAACCCAAUCUCUCCUGGCGACAACCCACAUCUCUUCCACGCAUCAUCAAUUUUCUCCUGAUCACCUCGGUAGCCUAGGCCUACAGUCGCCACAUAUGACACCCAGACAGUCGCAGACGUCCUCGCCCAUAAGGUCCACACUGGGAGCUGUGCAGCUUGGUUCAUCUCCUCUCGCUUCAAGACUGGGUGAGAAUACUUUAACUGGUGUGGGUUCUCAGACACCGGUGCAAACACUCUUGGGAGGAGCACAGCUUGCAUCCAGCUUGCAAGGCUCCUUACAGUCUCAGGAACAGCCGACAUCUUUAUCCUUCUCGUCACAGCCGCCCAUGCAGGAGCGUCUCGGCACAGCUCAGCUGGGGUUGAGCUGGGAUCCAACAGAAAGUCAGACUUCGGGGUAUCCACUACAGAUUCAUGCAGCAUCACAACAGAUGCAUGCAGCAUCACAACAGAUGCAUGCAGCAUCACAACAGAUGACCCAAGCAGGAAGCAUUGGCAUGUUGCGAGGAAAUCAGUGUGGAUCGCAGAUUGUAAAUGGCCGAAUGGCUGCGGGAAUUCAGAUGCAAGAAAACUUACACUAUCAAAACCAGAUUCAGUUUAGUGGCAUGGAAUAUCCAACAGCCCAGCAACAGUACAGCAGCUAUGAUCAGGCUCAGGCAUUUUCUCAGAACACAAAUAAUUUCCAGUUCAAUGUAAACUAUAUUGAAAGCUGUGAUCCAAACCUAUAUGAAGAUUAUUAUUAUGGAGACUACCAGUACAAUGACAGCUACAAUGGAUCAAUGGAGAAUUUAGAACCAAGUUAUUUGGGCAUAGCAACUGGACAGCCAACUACACCAUAUGGUGAUGAAACGGUCGAUGACUUGGGGCCAGAGGAGGUUCGAUGGUUUUAUAAAGUGGAAGCAGAUAAAAAAUGGACUCCAUUUAUUGGUUAUGACUCUCUUCGCAUUGAGUGGAAGUAUCGAGACUUAUUGCAAGAUGCCACGUCGGGUGGGUCUGAAGACUCAACAUUAGGAAAUCUGGGAGCUGGUAGUUUGUCUCCGAAGGAGGUCCGGGAAGGAAAGUCUCAAGUCGUAGAGAGAAUCGUAGUUCGCGGAGGGCUUUAUGAGGUUGAUGUGAAGCAGCGCAAGUGUGAAAGUAUUUACUGGCAAGGUGAAAUUUUUAUGAUAAGUCGAGGAACAUGGUUCUAUGAUGGCACCUGGGCACCUGUAGAAGAACUUCUUUCCGACAGGAUUGAGUUGGAACAUCUAACACACUUCAGAGGCCACUUGCUGUCUUCUCAGAGGGUCGAUGACUGUACUAAGGAAGUAGCCCAUUGCUUGUCACUCCCCGAGGGCGAAGUAGACUGGUUCAAUGCUUCGGAAGUUUACCUCACGUCAGAUGCUACGCCCUCACGACUUAUGCGAUCUGUUGGGAAGAAAUUAGGCUUCCAGAAGACUGGCUACAAGCUAAACCGUGGCUACAGCAUUGAUGCUACAUCAAGUGACAAGCCUCCAGAUAUUAACCACAUCGUGUUUGUCAUACAUGGCAUUGGGCAGAAAAUGGAGCGCGGACGGAUCAUCAAGAACACUACUGCGUUGAGGGAGAAUAUUAGUUAUCUAAAGCACAAGUACUACCCUUCCAUUGUCAAAACAAGCAACACGGUGGAAUUUUUUCCUGUAGAGUGGCGGUCGUCCUUGGUGUUAGACGCUGGAGUUAUUGACUCCAUUACGCCCCAGAAGAUUCUCAACAUACGACAGAUGCUAAAUGCUUCAUUUAUGGACAUAAUGUACUACAACAGUCCCCUUUAUAGGGAGGAGAUAAUUACUGGCUUGACUGGAGAGAUGAACCGUCUGUAUACAAUGUUCACACAACGAAACCCUUAUUUUGAGGCUAAUGGAGGCAAGGUGUCAAUGGUGGCUCACUCAUUGGGCUGUGUCAUCACAUAUGACAUAGUAACUGGCUGGAAUCCUGCUCAGCAGUUUGAUCGGCAACUUGUGCAGUCUUUGAUUGAAAAUAUGAAUAAAAGCAGCGACUUAAAAAAUGUUUCACAAAUAAUGUUCAAGAAAAACUUGCAAGAACUUCUUGAGCAACAUGACUCGAAAUGUUGUCAGCCAUCCUUAAAUUUCAAGAUGCGGUGUUUGGACAUCUGGUGUGCCUCUGUUUCUGUAUCCCCCUGCGGCACCUUUCAGCUUCACUUGAGGCUUGUAUUGAAAAUUUCUUCUGUUUGGGUUCCCCACUAGCAGUAUUCUUGGCCCUGCGAACAAAACUAUCACAGGGAGCAACCCCAGAUAUCAUCCCUCAAAAACUGUGCAAGCGUCUACUCAACAUCUUUCAUCCAGCUGACCCAGUGGCAUAUAGAAUUGAACCUCUGCUGUGUCCAGAAUACUCCAACAUUGCUCCAGUACUGAUACAUUCCUACAAUGCCACGGAUAAAAUGCCAUACAACG